rnacentral:rRNA from 1 species
ACGCUCGACACCUACGGGAGGCAGCAGUGGGGAAUAUUGCACAAUGGGGGAAACCCUGAUGCAGCGACGCCGCGUGGAGGAAGAAGGUCUUCGGAUUGUAAACUCCUGUUGUUGGGAAAAGAGGAUGGUACCCAACAAGGAAGUGACGGCUAACUACGUGCCAACAGCCGCGGUAAUCUGAGCGGGCUGGCAAGGC